AACGAACGCUAGCGGCAGGCUUAACACAUGCAAGUCGAACGGUUGUAGCAAUACAGCAGUGGCAGACGGGUGAGUAACACGUGGGAACCUUCCUAGGGGUACGGAACAACUCAGGGAAACUUGAGCUAAUACCGUAUACGUCCGUGAGGAGAAAGAUUUAUCGCCCUUAGACGGGCCCGCGUCGGAUUAGCUAGUUGGUGGGGUAACGGCCUACCAAGGCGACGAUCCGUAGCUGAUCUUAGAGGAUGAUCAGCCACACUGGGACUGAGACACGGCCCAGACUCCUACGGGAGGCAGCAGUGGGGAAUCUUGGACAAUGGGCGCAAGCCUGAUCCAGUCAUGCCGCGUGAGUGAAGAAGGCCUUCGGGUUGUAAAGCUCUGUCAUUAGGGACGAAAAUGACGGUACCUAAUGAGGAAGCCACGGCUAACUACGUGCCAGCCGCCGCCGUAA
rnacentral:rRNA from 1 species